rnacentral:misc_RNA from 1 species
ACUACGAACUAGAGAAGAGGUUAAUCGUAUAAGGUCAACGUAUUUUUCUCACAACGCUAUCAACUAGUCGAAACAAGUUUACCGUGCCAUCCGACUUUCAGGACAAAAUAGAGCGAUGAAAAGCUGGCAGAGUACUCCUUUAGGCACCUAAACUUCUAACGAGGCAUCAUUCUACCUGUAUGACGUAAGGUAUCAUGGAAAUGCAAUGAUUUAUGGCUAUAGCUUUGAAACAAAGUCAAACAGGAUGCACGUUCGUACGAACUUUUCUCAAUGCUUUUGUGCCUCUUGCCCACUCACGAAUAGAAUUCCGUUUAGAAGAAAUCUAUUUAUAUGAAGGAGAUCUUAUGCAUUCGAUGUUCAACAUCGAAAGGAUUCAAGUGUAUAUUUCGUUAUUUCCGAGGAAUUAACACUAGAACUACCGCACCAGUCAAAUUGACUGGUUUUACAAUUUUAUUUUAACCCUUUGAGUGCUGUGGGCGCAUAUAGGCGUCUGGCGAAAGCUAUCGGUGUGGACUAAGG